rnacentral:rRNA from 1 species
UUUCUUCAUUACCCGCUGAAUUUAAGCAUAUUAUUAAGCGGUGAGAAAAGAAAUCAAAUGAGAUUGGAUUAGUAGUGGCGAACGAAGAUCCAAGAAAAACAAGAUCAAAGGAAAAGAGAUAAUUGAGAAAAAUCAAAAUUCUUGGUUAUCUGAUGCUCCUUUUGAGUUAGAAAGUGACGGAAAAGAUAGCCUCGUACUUGUUUAUUGUUUUAUUGAAAUUUGAAUGGAAAUUCAUUUGCCAUAGAAGGUGAAAGCCCCUGUAAUAAAAAACAACAAGUCUGGAGGUCGAGAAUGAAAUCGUUUUUAACUCUAGAGUCGCAUUGGUUGGGAAUCCAAUGUCAAAUGGGAGGUAUACUUCUUCUAAAAUCUAAAAUAUGAGACUGAGACCGAUAGAGAAAAAAGUACUGCGAAAGGAACGUUGAAAAAGAAUUUCGUAAAAGAAAAAGUCAAAAGAACAUGAAAUGGAGA